rnacentral:lncRNA from 1 species
ACGAAUCCUUGCUUAUGGUAACACUACCGACAUCAACGACGAGUAUCUAAAAAUGGCGGAGAAAACAACACGAGAUAGCUUGGAACAUUUUUGUCGCGGUACAAUUUUUUUUUUAGUAUAAUUGAUGUGUACGGUGCGCGUUAUCUUAGAACGCCUACAUGGGAGGACCUUCAAAAGAUCUACGAGGUACAUAAUGCCGAGCAUGGUUUGCCUGGUAUGAUCGGGAGCAUAGAUUGCAUGCAUUGGCGUUGGGAUAACUGCCCGACUGCAUGGCGAGGCCAACACACACGUGGU